UAACGCGUGGAUAACCUGCCUCACACUGGGGGAUAACAGUUAGAAAUGACUGCUAAUACCGCAUAAGCGCACAGCACCGCAUGGUACAGUGUGAAAAACUCCGGUGGUGUGAGAUGGAUCCGCGUCUGAUUAGCCAGUUGGCGGGGUAACGGCCCACCAAGCCGACGAUCAGUAGCCGACCUGAGAGGGUGACCGGCCACAUUGGGACUGAGACAUGGCCCAA
rnacentral:rRNA from 1 species